UACAGAGGUGGCAAGCGUUGUUCGGAAUUACUGGGCGUAAAGGGCGCGUAGGCGGCUUGGUCAGUCCCGUGUGAAAUCCCUCGGCUCAACUGAGGAACUGCACGGGAAACUGCCUGGCUUGAGUUCGGGAGAGGGAAGCGGAAUUCCGGGUGUAGCGGUGAAAUGCGUAGAUAUCUGGAGGAACACCGGUGGCGAAGGCGGCAUCCUGGACCGAUACUGACGCUGAGGAGCGAAAGCCAGGGGAGCAAACGGG
rnacentral:rRNA from 1 species